UACGUAGGGUGCAAGCGUUGUCCGGAAUUAUUGGGCGUAAAGAGCUCGUAGGCGGUUUGUCGCGUCUGCUGUGAAAACUCGGGGCUUAACCCCGGGCCUGCAGUGGGUACGGGCAGACUAGAGUGCGGUAGGGGAGACUGGAAUUCCGGGUGUAGCGGUGGAAUGCGUAGAGAUCCGGAAGAACACCGGUGGCGAAGGCGGCCUGCUGGGCAGUUGCUGACACUGAGGCGCGACAGCGUGGGGAGCAAACAGG
rnacentral:rRNA from 1 species